CUAGAAUAGAGACCUCCUUGGCCCGGUAACCAUGGUAACAUAAUAAACAGAACGAUACAGCUAUGGUAGAGAAGAGUCACAGGAAACUCACCCACCUUUUCUCCCCACCACCACUCCCCUCCCCACUACUUGCAAAUGAUUUUGGGAGGCAGCAGACUAUGUAGGAAGUGGCAGGUUCACUGAAGGUGGGAUUUCAGGAUGCAGCUUCCGUGAGGUCCGCGAUGGGCGGGCUGGGACGUCGUGAAGAUGCAGCUGUUACCCACACUCCUGUAUGUAAGCCCUCACCCACACUCCAACACAUUUGAUAUAUGUUCUUCACAUGGUCUCAUGAGGGAGAGGCUGAGGAAGCAGAGGUCCAGACCCUUCCUGUACUUGGGGCAUCUCUGAAGGACCACUCCAGCCCUAGAAUUCCUCGCAGGAUCAGAGGAGAUCCUUGCAGCAUUUGCAACAUAAUUCAGCAUAUUUCUCUGCCAGUCAAGUCACCUACACUGAUUAGAGGCAGCUGCGACACAUGAACUCACAGCUUUGGGACAGAGUGCACAAGACUUGGGAAAGCUGAAGCCACAUGAAAUCCAGCAUGGAGGGGGAGUGAGCACAAAGUCUCAGCCUUUGCUCGUUGCAAUUGGACUCUUGGUGCUGAUAUCGCUAGUUGAUACCGACUUUCUGGGAAGGACAACAAAAACAGAGUCCACAGUCCAAGCCACUUGAGUACCUAGAAGUGAGAACAGAAAAACAAGGGAUUGGUUGGAGUAACCAAGGAAACCAUUUGAUGGGGUCACCUACAAAGAACCGAAAAGAAUAACUGGGGCCACUUCCAAUCGCAAUGACAACCACCCACUUUUUCAUUCUCCUUUGCUACCCCUCCUUUUGGAGA
rnacentral:sRNA from 1 species